rnacentral:lncRNA from 1 species
UGCCACGUGUAUGUCAGCGCAGGUGGUCAGCACUGUGGGAACACUGAAGAGAAAGACAGCUGCCCCUGGUCUCAGGGAGAGUAGUCUACUGGAAGCCAGGUGCGAACUCACGAGGGUAGAGCACACAUGGGGACACGGGAAGUCGACAGUGAUGCGGGAGUUCAGAGAGAGAAGGUGGUCACGUCUGGAAAACGUAGCUCUUUAGCAAGGUAAGAGUGAUGGUGAAUUCAGCAGGACUACAAACAACUUAAAAUGGUUUCGUAAAGAAACAAGCUUUUCCUUAAAUCUCACAUCCUGCCUAGAAAUGAGGAACAAGAACAGAAGGCAACCCAAGGGGAAAACAAGGAUCGCACAAAGAAAUCUCUUAGUAGGAAGUUCACAGUUUUUAGCUCAGUGGGGCCCACAGAGAGCCAGGAACACAGGGUGAGGAGCAGAAAACCAUGUGACGUUUGCCCAGCAGGUCAGAGAGGAGACGCAGAAAGGACGCUCUUCCCACCUCACCGGCCUCGCCAGCAGGAGGCAAGUGGGGAACACGAAGCACGGAAGGCCCUGGGAGCCUUACAGCCACGGGCACGUCUACAGAGCCUCGGCCACGUGCGACUCCGAGCUGGCUCUGUGACCCCCACCCCACCACCCCACUGGGAGGAUUUGAGAGGUUUUAAGGUAAAGUUCAAUACUGACUAAAGGGUUAAAAAUGGGCAGUAAUACCUUACAGGUGAUCUCAAGAGCCAUUUCUUCAUCUUCUCUAGGUCAAGCAUUCUCGAGGAUGAGGAAACUUGUGGAGUUUUACUUUCCGGGGGUGAUAAGCCAAGCCAAUGGGAAAACUCUGAAAUAAUAACAGUACAUUUAUGAGAUGUUACGUUUAGGGCACAGCUUUAAUAUAUCUGGAUGACUAGCACAGUUAACACAAAAGUAUUUCAGCAAAAAAAGGAAAUAAAGAUUUCUGGGUCACUAUGGGGGGAUUAGUCUUGGGACAAAUUUGCUUCAGCUCAUUAGUCGGGUGAUGAUGCCGGCAUCAUUCUUGGCCAUUCUGGCUCCAUCAAAUGUGGUGAACGUGAACAUGAGUGUGUUCCAUUUGUGUCCUGCUGUCUUACCAAAUGCUAUCAAAUCUGGAAGGUCAACAAUUCAGAAUUAAACUG